ensembl:lncRNA LINC01192 long intergenic non-protein coding RNA 1192
GGUGGAGUGACAUAAACACCUCUGUAGCCAUCACCACUAUGACUGCACUGGGUCAGAGAUGAAGCCAACAUAGCUCUGUGUCUCACCCAAGGCCUGCUGUAACCACUCCCUGGACAGCAUUGAAUUCAGAGCCUCACAAUUGCUGUGUUCUACUUCGCCUAGCAACCAGAGAUGAUCCCUGCAACAUGCUGCUGUUGCUGGGAGUGGGAAAGAGGUGGCAUCGGCGGUUCAAGACUGAGUUUUCUAUCUCUUCAGUGCCUCUUUCAACAAUGAAGAUCAAACCAGGUUUUGUGCAAAUAUCUGCUGAGUGAACUACUUAUUUGAAAAUACAUCAUUGGUUAAUAUUCCCUUUUGCUCAUUGAAAUCUCAAAGACUACAGACCCCGCACAAGACAUUCUGACAUUCCCGUCUUUGAAAUGAAUGACAGCAAUGAUAAAUAUGGCUCACCUCCAGAGAUACAGAUCUCACAACUUCAUAUUUUUAAUAUAAAUUAUUAAUCUGAGAAGCAGAGAGAGAUAAGACCCAUGAUAAUCAAGCCAUAAACAGAUGCAUUUACUAGCUGAAUGGCCAACAAUGGAAUUCAACAAAUCCAUCUUGAGCACGGCAGCCAGGAGUACGUAGACGGCAUUUUAUGGAUAUCCAGAUACAAAAUUAUAUUGCUCCCAUUAGUAAGAUUGCUGGCAAUCUUACUAUGUAGCAACUAAAAUACAGGUUAACCACUUAAAUUUGAAUUUCAGAUAAACAGUCAAUAAUUCUGCAUAGGAUAUACUUAUACUAAAAACUAUUUGCUGUUUAUCAGAAAUUCAAUUUUAACAGGAUGUCCUAUAUUUCAUCUGGAAUCUUACCCUUGUUUCAUGACAGAAUAAUGCAGAUCUGGGAGCUCUUAGCAGGCAUUUUGUAAUCACAAUAAAAAGUCAGUUUUCAGAAGUGGCAGAUGGCAAAAGAGAAAGAUUGGAGGGAAGAAGACAGUGAUACUAUGCUUUAGCUGAGGAAACAAAACAGUCUCCACUCUUUCUUAUCUCCUAUUUUAACUAGCCAAUGUAUUUUAUUAGAUUUUGGCAAGGUUCAUUUGGGUAUUAUGUCACUCUAUUUCAAUAUAACUACUCUGAUACACACUAAAGAAUUACCAUGAAGUAUUGUUAAUCUCAAAAGUUGUCGCUGUUUUCCUGAAUAUGGUUCAGCCAUUUCAAAGUUAUAUACUCUAUAGAUGAAAAGAGAAGUGUCUUGGGAUGUUUCAGAAAUGUUAUGUCACACAACGGAAUUCCUUAGCUUUACCUGACUGAUAAAAUCUGAAAGUUCAAGUCAGAUGUAUGAAGGGUUAAUAAAAAUUCAAUUUAUUUUAUAUCAUGCAAUGAAAACACAAAUCAGUACCAAGGCUAGCAAUAUUCAAAUAUAAUAUUUUGAUCUUUGA